rnacentral:rRNA from 1 species
AGGAUCAUUAUUGAAAUAAACCUGAUGGGUUGUUGCUGGCUCUCUAGGGAGCAUGUGCACGCCUUGUCAUCUUUAUAUCUCCACCCGUGCACUUUUUGUAGACCUUUCAGGUCUAUGUUGCUUCAUUUACCCCAAUGUAUGUUAAUAGAAUGUUGUGACUAUAUAAUAUAUACAACUUUCAGCAACGGAUCUCUUGGCUCUCGCAUCGAUGAAGAACGCAGCGAAAUGCGAUAAGUAAUGUGAAUUGCAGAAUUCAGUGAAUCAUCGAAUCUUUGAACGCACCUUGCGCUCCUUGGUAUUCCGAGGAGCAUGCCUGUUUGAGUGUCAUUAAUAUAUAUAUAUCAACCUUCUCUUGUAGAGUGGUUUGGAUGUGGGGGUUUGCUGGCUUCUUAAACGAUUCAGCUCCCCUGAAAUGCAUUAGCAGAACAAACCUGUUCAUUGGCGUGAUAACUAUCUAUGCUAUUGAAUGUGAGGGGAAGUUCAGCUUUCUAACUGUCUUUGGACAAUUCAUCAUUAAUGUGACCUCAAAUCAGGUAGGACUACCCGCUGAACUUAAGCAUAUCAAUAAGCGGAGGAAAAGAAACUAACAAGGAUUCCCCUAGUAACUGCGAGUGAAGCGGGAAAAGCUCAAAUUUAAAAUCUGGCGGUCUUUUGGCUGUCCGAGUUGUAAUCUAGAGAAGUGUUAUCCGCGCUGGACCGUGUACAAGUCUCCUGGAAUGGAGCAUCAUAGAGGGUGAGAAUCCCGUCUUUGACAUGGACUGCCAGGGCUUUGUGAUGCGCUCUCAAAGAGUCGAGUUGU